rnacentral:lncRNA from 1 species
CACUUCGCAAUUGCAUACACGGUAACACGACUACGUAAAGUGUACUACUGAGAUCAAUAAUCAACAAUCAACUAGUGCCAACCGAAGAAUUAGUGAUUGAAAUUAUUAUUGUUAAUUACUGAUUUAUUAAUCUCCCUACAUCAGAUGGUUUUGCCACAUAUGAUGUGUGUAUUUAUAAUCCAUAUUUAAAUAUUACUUUUGAGUAUUUUUUUCAAAUUGUAAAAUGGACAAAGUGAAAAAUGAGAUGAUCAAAAUAAUCCGUUGUUAAUUGAUAAGUAUUUGACUGUUGGUCUUGAGGAUGAUUUGGGAUACAUUGAGGAUUUUGAGUUCUAAGUGGAAUUUGAUUGUUAUGUGAGUGAGAGGACAGUGAAGUUCAAAGUUUUUAGGUUGGAUGAAAAUAUGAAAAAUGGGUCGAAGUGACUAAUUUGGGUGAUAUGUACUUGUUCCUAGGUAAUAAUUGUACAUUUUCAACUUUUGCUUCGGAGAUGUUUGGGGAUAAUGGGUGUAAACGUAAUUGUAUAUUCUUUACAAGUUAGUUCUUUUUGGGAAGAUGAUUAGGUGUGGAACAGUUGCAGCAUCAGAGUGUUUGAUUUGGAGAUUGGGAGUAUUGGGCCAGUAGAUAGUCAAGACGGUUAUUCCCACAUGUUUUUGACACAACCUUCUUGGGUUUGUUCUAAUGUGUCUAUAAAAGUAAGUGGUGGUUUUAGUUUUCCAGUUUACAGCUAAUUUUUUGAAAUGUAUAUCUUUCCGCCAAACUUUGUUUGUUAUGUGAGAUUUAUUUGUUGAGCAACAUCAUGUAUUCAAGAUAUUGUGUGUGUGUUUCUUGGCAGCGUUGGCUACACUUUUAAUGUAGCAUUAGUUAAGUGGUAGUUUUAAUUUUCAUGUUAC